GGUGGAAAGAUUAGUUUAAUACUUGGUCAUGGAAUAAAGUAGAAGAAUUCUGAAAACAGUAAUUUUUAAUCUUCUUUUGGGACACUUUGAUAAUAUGCUGAAAGCUAGAGACUGUUUCCACGGCACUAAUAGUUAAAUUAUUUGGGUUAUCUUUAACCUGUAUUUUUAUUUUGGGGGGAGGAGGAUGAUUGGAAUAAAUGCUUCUGUUAAUUUUUACUUAUAUUUAAAGCAAUAUAAAAAAAUAUGGAAUUUGGUACAUACAGUGUCCUGAUAUUUUCAUUAUGCAUCAUACUCCUAAUCAUUGAAAGAUGACUCUGUCACAUUUUACAUGAAGUAAUCAUUGUCUAGACAUUUAUAUCACAAACUUUAUUUUAUUUUUCUUGAAUUUUCUGUUAUACAAUUAAUCAUUGCUUUACCGUGAAUCAUCCUGAGUCAACUUGAUUCAGAUAGGCCUAUAGUACACAGUUAAAAUGGGAUUUUAUUUUAUUCUUACCAGAUCCAGAAGUCUCUUCCAUUUAAUUAUGAGUUUACUACAGUUAGAUUGAUGAUUAUAACAGGUAUUUAUAUUUUGUUUUGCCUUUCUUUUUUUUUUUGUAAGUGUUCUUUUCUUUAUUACCUGUGCUUAUUCAUUUCAGAUCAUUAGGAAAAAUAUGUUUUUACUCCUGUAGUGUUUACUUUUAUAAAUUUAAAGAAUAACAUUAAAUCUUAAGCUUUUUUUCAUUCUAGAAAUGAGGUAAUAGCUAAUGAAUAUCCAAUGCUAAAUAUGAAUAAAUUAGGACACUUAAAGACACUUACUUUCCUUCUCACUCUUCUAUUUUCCAAAUUUUGUUAAUAUGAUCUGGUAUUUUUUUUCUCAAUCCAUUUCAGCUAGCAUAUUAUUAUAAUUUAUUAUACAGUUGCCUCAGUGAUAACCUCAGGUAUACGUUUAAAGAAACUCAAUGAAUUCUGCCACUCCCAUCAUACCAUAUCUCAUGGUUGGUUAAUUUAUACCCCUAAAGUAAACUGAGAACUUAGUCUUUUCUGGGCAAUGUGCCAGGCACUAAGUAUUCAGCAAUGAGCAGGUCACUUACCCAACCUCACAGCAGCUGCCAGUUCAGUAAGUAAAAUUUCUAGAUGAGGAAAGAAAUGUUACUUCAUUUUUCUUGUAGUUUCGAUAAAGUUUAUUUUUAAAAAAUGUUCUUUUAUUUUAUUCUCUUACCUUUCAUUGUUCUCAUUUGAUAAAAAGGACCUCUAUGGACACUCUAGUAUUAUUUCGUUUGCAUUUCUGGGCAUGUGUUAUGGAUUGAAUUCUGCUCUGAAAAAAAAUAUGUUUUGUAAGUCCUAAUCACUAUGCCAGUGUUCAUAAUUCCAUUUGGGAAUGGGUUGUCUUCAUUAUGUUAAUGAGGCAGGAUUAGUAUAGAGUGUAUCUUGAAUCAAUCUCUUUUCAGAUAUAAGAGAUUAAACAAGGGAGCAGAGAGAGAUGGGGUAAGAUAGAUUCCAAGCCACAUGGAGAUCUCCAAGGAACCAGGAAGCAGAAGCUGAAGAGACAAGUACUUUCUUCAGAGCUGGCAGAGAGAGAAAGCCAUUCCCGAGAGCUGGCGCUCUGAAUUUGAACUUCUAGCCUCCUAAACUACUCUGAGCCAGAGCCCUGCUGUCUGACCUGUCCAUCUUGGGUUCACCAGCCCCUGCAGCUAGAUUUUACCACAAAUGCACUCACUAAAUUGGGAGAAAGGAGCUCCUUCUUCACUUCCCUCAGAAUGGAAGAAUCUGGAAGCCGAAGUGUUAACAUCUAUAAGCUGCUCCAACAAGGGAAUAUAUACUGUUAAAUAUUGGGAGUUAUUUAAAAUGCCAGUGAGUAUAAUAGCAGUGCUCUGAAAUAACCAUUUCAUCUGCCUACAUUACUCUAAAAUUAAUGAAUAAUGAAGCGAUGCCCUUCACAUUCUCUUCCCUUUCCAUUCCAAGAUAUAUUGAUCAGAUGACAUUUAUUUAAGUUUGGGAUAAUGUAUUAAUUUCAAGAUAAUUAUUCAAUAUACUUUUGUCACUGUUGAUAUGCUUCAAUGUCAUCCAGGGGCCGGGGGAUGAAUAAACUGUUAUCUGACAUUGCUGGACAGAGCGCUAGAAAUAAAUGCAGUUUUUCUCCUUGAGAUUCACUGACUUGGGUUUUUAUGGGGGGGUGGUUAUGGAGGGGAGAAUGCUGAAUGGGGAGAGGGUGUGAUGAUACAACCUGGAGGUUAAGAAUUUUUUAAAGAAUGGUACUUUGGGACAAAGUGCUUUUCUAUCAUCGCUGGGGUCAGGCUGAUCCUCAGCAAAGUUGACAGAGCCCAUCCUUAGUGGAUGCCACUGCAAUAUUAACACUCAUUUGGAGCAGAUGUGGCUAAAAGCAUGAAACAUUGAACAAACAGCUGCCACAGAUCCCUUGCCAUUGCAUAAGCACUUAUGUUCUAUUAAUGCAGUGGACUGCCGAGGCCGGUAGGGCAGGCAUUAUUCCCCACAGUUCUUAAGCAGAUGGGUGAAACAAUGGCUCCUUAGAGAAGUGUUGCCCCCAUUGAAGCAAUCCUUCCAUCUUAGGAAAAUAUUUUUAUACAAAAUAAUUAACCCAUGAAAAGAAUGCAGCUAAAGUUAGGUUAUGCUAUGCCAAGCUAUUUAGCAGAUAUGCUAGUCUUUUUAAAUUUAUUUUAUUCUAAGCUAUUUUUAUUUGGAUAGUGUGCCAGUGCUAUAAUGCUGUCUCUUCCUUCUUUUCUCACCUUGUGUUGUGUGUGUUUAUACAAGAUGUGUGUAUAUAGAACUCUGUGUCUUCGGGUAUGGGAUAAGUUGAGAUCCCAGUUCUUCAAACUUGCUUCUCUGUUUACCUAAUUCAGUGGGUUUGAGCAUGUUGCUUCCAAGUCUACAAUUACCAGUUUGACACC